AGAGUUUGAUCCUGGCUCAGGAUGAACGCUAGCGGCAGGCCUAAUACAUGCAAGUCGAACGGUAAGGUCCCUUAUCGGAGAUACACGAGUGGCGCACGGGUGAGUAACGCGUAUGCAACCUACCUUUAACUGGAGGAUAGCCCCGAGAAAUCGGGAUUAAUACUUCAUAAUAAUAUAAAACGACAUCGUUUAAUAUUUAAAGCUCCGGCGGUUAAAGAUGGGCAUGCGUGACAUUAGAUAGUUGGUGAGGUAACGGCUCACCAAGUCAGCGAUGUCUAGGGGUUCUGAGAGGAUUAUCCCCCACACUGGUACUGAGACACGGACCAGACUCCUACGGGAGGCAGCAGUAAGGAAUAUUGGUCAAUGGACGCAAGUCUGAACCAGCCAUGCCGCGUGCAGGAUGACAGCCCUAUGGGUCGUAAACUGCUUUUAUAAAAGAAGAAACUCCACUAUGUAUAGUGGACUGACGGUACCAUACGAAUAAGGAUCGGCUAACUCCGUGCCAGCAGCCGCGGUAAUACGGAGGAUCCAAGCGUUAUCCGGAUUUAUUGGGUUUAAAGGGUGCGCAGGCGGGAGACUAAGUCAGGGGUGAAAUCCUACAGCUUAACUGUAGAACUGCCUUUGAUACUGGUUUUCUUGAAUAUAGUUGAGGUAGGCGGAAUGUGUAGUGUAGCGGUGAAAUGCUUAGAGAUUACACAGAACUCCGAUUGCGAAGGCAGCUUACUAGACUAUAACUGACGCUGAUGCACGAAAGCGUGGGUAGCGAACAGGAUUAGAUACCCUGGUAGUCCACGCCGUAAACGAUGAUUACUCGUUGUCUGCGAUAUACUGUAGGCGACUGAGCGAAAGCAUUAAGUAAUCCACCUGGGGAGUACGUUGGCAACAAUGAAACUCAAAGGAAUUGACGGGGGCCCGCACAAGCGGAGGAACAUGUGGUUUAAUUCGAUGAUACGCGAGGAACCUUACCCGGGUUUAAAUGCAGGACGAAAUCUCCAGAGACGGAGACCCCUUCGGGCGGACUGCAAGGUGCUGCAUGGCUGUCGUCAGCUCGUGCCGUGAGGUGUCGGGUUAAGUCCCAUAACGAGCGCAACCCCUAUCAUUAGUUGCCAGCGGAUAAUGCCGGGGACUCUAGUGAGACUGCCACCGUAAGGUGUGAGGAAGGUGGGGAUGACGUCAAGUCAGCACGGCCCUUAUGUCCGGGGCUACACACGUGUUACAAUGGCAAGUACAAAGGGUCGCUACACGGUAACGUGAUGCUAAUCUCGUAAACCGAUCUCAGUUCGGAUCGAAGUCUGCAACUCGACUUCGUGAAGUUGGAUUCGCUAGUAAUCGUACAUCAGCAACGGUACGGUGAAUACGUUCCCGGGCCUUGUACACACCGCCCGUCAAGCCAUGGAAGCUGGGGGUGCCUGAAGUCUGUAACCGAAAGGAGCGGCCUAGGGUAAAACUAGUAACUGGGGCUAAGUCGUAACAAGGUA
rnacentral:rRNA from 1 species